rnacentral:rRNA from 1 species
GAUGAACGCUGGCGGCGUGCUUAACACAUGCAAGUCGAACGGUGAAAGAGAGCUUGCUCUCUGGAUCAGUGGCGAACGGGUGAGUAACACGUGAGCAAUCUGCCCCUGACUCUGGGAUAAGCGCUGGAAACGGCGUCUAAUACCGGAUACGAGCUGCGAAGGCAUCUUCAGCAGCUGGAAAGAACUUCGGUCAGGGAUGAGCUCGCGGCCUAUCAGCUAGUUGGUGAGGUAACGGCUCACCAAGGCGUCGACGGGUAGCCGGCCUGAGAGGGUGACCGGCCACACUGGGACUGAGACACGGCCCAGACUCCUACGGGAGGCAGCAGUGGGGAAUAUUGCACAAUGGGCGAAAGCCUGAUGCAGCAACGCCGCGUGAGGGACGACGGCCUUCAGGUUGUAAACCUCUUUUAGCAGGGAAGAAGCGAAAGUGACGGUACCUGCAGAAAAAGCGCCGGCUAACUACGUG